UACAGAGGGUGCAAGCGUUAAUCGGAGUUACUGGGCGUAAAGGGCGCGUAGGUGGAUAUUUAAGUCGGGUGUGAAAUCCCUGGGCUCAACCUAGGAAUUGCAUUCGAUACUGGAUAUCUAGAGUAUGGUAGAGGAAAGUAGAAUUCCCGGUGUAGUGGUAAAAUGCGUAGAUAUCGGGAGGAAUACCAGUGGCGAAGGCGACUUUCUGGUCCAAUACUGACACUGAGGCGCGAAAGCGUGGGGAG
rnacentral:rRNA from 1 species